rnacentral:rRNA from 1 species
AUGUAAAUUUUUGUAUGAAUAAUUUAUUAUUUUAAUAAUAAUAAAUUUUUGUUUAAUUGCAAUAACUAAUAUUAUAUUUUAAAGAAAUUUAGAUAUAGUAAUAUUAAAUAAUAUUGGUUAAAUUUGUGCCAGCAACCGCGGUUAUACAAAUAAUAUAAAUGAAUUUUAUUAUUAGAGUUAAUUGAUUUAUUAAUUAUAAAGUUUAAUUAAUUUUUUAGGUGAAUUUUAAAUUAUUAAUUUUUUAUUUUAAUUUAGUAUUGAGGCUUAUAAAUUUUUUAGUUAAACUAGGAUUAGAUACCCUAUUAUUAAAAAAGAAAAAUUAGGAUUUAAGUAGUAUUAGUUAUGUUCUUGAAAUUUAAAAAAUUUGGCGGUAUUUUAGUCAAUUCAGAGGAAUCUGUUCUAUAAUUGAUAAUCCACAUUGUACCUUACUUAAAUUUGUUUAGUUUAUAUACCGUCGUUAUAAGAAUAUUUUAUAAGAAUAAUAAUUUUCAAUAAUUUAAAUUAAAAUUUAUAUCAGAUCAAGGUGUAGCUUAUGUUUAAGUAGAAAUGGAUUACAAUAAAGUUAUUUUGAAUAAAAUUAUGAAAUAAAUUUUUGAAACUGGAUUUGAAUGUAAAAUUAUAUAGAUUAAUAAUUUGAUUUUAGCUCUAAAAUAUGUACACAUCGCCCGUCGCUCUUAUUAUUAAGAUAAGAUAAGUCGUAACAUAGUAGAUGUA